AUUAGAGUUUGAUCCUGGCUCAGAACGAACGCUGGCGGCGCGUCUUAAGCAUGCAAGUCGAGCGGUAAGAUGGAAGCUUGCUUCUAUCCUAGAGCGGCGGACUGGUGAGUAACGCGUGGGUGACGUACCUUUGUGACGGGGACAGCUCCUAGAAAUAGGAGAUAAUACCGGAUACGCUGUAACAUGUCAGAGGUGUUACAGGAAAGGAUCUUUUGAUUCGCACAGAGAGCGGCCCGCGUACUAUUAGCUAGUUGGUGAGGUAACGGCCCACCAAGGCGACGAUAGUUACCCGGCCUAAGAGGGUGAUCGGGCACAUUGGGACUGAGAUACGGCCCAGACUCCUACGGGAGGCAGCAGCUAAGAAUAUUCCGCAAUGGACGAAAGUCUGACGGAGCGACGCCGCGUGGAUGAUGAAGGCCGGAAGGUUGUAAAAUCCUUUUAUGACUGAGGAAUAAGCAGGGUGAGAGAAACGCCCUGUGGUGACUGUAGGUCAUGAAUAAGCAACGGCUAAUUACGUGCCAGCAGCCGCGGUAACACGUAAGUUGCGAGCGUUGUUCGGAAUUAUUGGGCGUAAAGGGCAUGUAGGCGGUUCUGCAAGUCUGGUGUGAAAUACCGGGGCUCAACCCCGGAACUGCGUUGGAAACUGCAGGACUUGAAUCGCUGAGGGGCAGCCAGAAUUCCAGGUGUAGGGGUGAAAUCUGUAGAUAUCUGGAAGAAUACCAAUGGCGAAGGCAGGCUGCCAGCAGAUGAUUGACGCUGAGGUGCGAAGGUGCGGGGAGCAAACAGGAUUAGAUACCCUGGUAGUCCGCACAGUCAACUAUGUACACUAGGUGUCCGGUCAUGAGACUGGGUGCCGAAGCAAACGCGAUAAGUGUACCGCCUGGGGAGUAUGCCCGCAAGGGUGAAACUCAAAGGAAUUGACGGGGCCCGCACAAGCGGUGGAGCAUGUGGUUUAAUUCGAUGGUACGCGAGGAACCUUACCUGGGUUUGACAUACAAAGGGAAUUAUUUAGAGAUAGUAAGCGCAGCAAUGCGCUUUGAACAGUGCUGCAUGCUGUCGUCAGCUCGUGCGUGAGGUGUUGGUAGUCCCGCACGAGCGCACCCCUACUGCAGUACUAACAGUUACGCUGAAGGACUCUGGCGAACUGAGUGACAACCGGAGAGGUGGGAUAACGUCCAAGUCUCAUAUGGACCUUAUGAUC
rnacentral:rRNA from 1 species